rnacentral:rRNA from 1 species
UACAGAGGGUGCAAGCGUUAAUCGGAAUUACUGGGCGUAAAGCGAGCGUAGGUGGCUUGAUAAGUCAGAUGUGAAAUCCCCGGGCUUAACCUGGGAACUGCAUCUGAUACUGUCAGGCUAGAGUAGGUGAGAGGAAGGUAGAAGUCCAGGUGUAGCGGUGAAAUGCGUAGAGAUCUGGAGGAAUACCGAUGGCGAAGGCAGCCUUCUGGCAUCAUACUGACACUGAGGCUCGAAAGCGUGGGUAGCAAACAGG